AUAAAUUUUUUAAGCAUUUACAUGACAUGAUUAUAGAACUUAAAUAGUUUAAAAAGAACAUAAAUGAUACACAAAAAUAGUCUGUAGGUCAUAUGAACAAACAGAUAAAUCAAUGUCAUUGGGGGCAUCUGUGUUGGUUGUGCUUCAUCUUCUUGUACAGUCUACAUCGUACGAUAUUUUGGCUCACUAUUACAUCCAUUUCAUUUUGCAUCCUCCUC
rnacentral:lncRNA from 1 species